rnacentral:lncRNA from 1 species
ACAUGGCUCAGACUCCGCAGAGAGCAGAUUGCUGAUAAUGGCCAUCCCGUCUCCUGGCCCUCUCCCAGAAGAACCAUAUUUAAGCUCUCAGUUGAUGUGAAUGCCCGGAAAACAUUACUCUCCAGGGCAGUGGGAAGUCUGUCCAUUCCAUGGAGAUUAUCAGCUGAAACAAGGCUGUUUCCCGUCAGACCUGCUUAAGCCAUGUCAAGGUGUAAGAGUAACUGGAUGCUUUACGUAAACAAAAGGACAAAUGAAGGCCAAGCUGGAGUCUCACCUACCUGACUUUUACAGCAGUAAGAGCCUUAAUAGGGGCAUCAGCGAUCUUUAUAUAAAAACCUAAAAUGAUUCGCAAAGGGGAAACUGGGAUUGUUGGGAUUGUUAAAACUUUUGAUGACUUUUGUGACCAUUAAUUACAGUUGCUGAAAUGCCUUUCCAUAAAGAAGACAACUUCAUUCAACUCUUCAAUCUCAAGAUUACAGCCAUUUUCUGCACAGAGAAGGGUACACACUGAGGCAUCCACAAGACCUUGAUUUCAAACAAAUUUGUCUUCCUUUCAGUUAACACUAACAAAGCUACCAUUGAUGGAAACUAAAGGCAUUAAAACCCAGAGCACAUCCCCCAGCAUGAGAAAAUGAAUCAGACGAUGACCGCUUUGAGAAAUGGGCUCUGUGCUGGGACACACUGGGCUGUCUCCUCAGUACAGUCCCAGGCAGGACUUCAUUAUAAACCGCAGCCCCACCUCACACAGCGCCUCCUCAGCAUGACUCACUCACAAAAUCAUCCCUGCUGGUGGGAUGGCCGGCCUCUAACGAUGGAUUUGCUGUGCUGUUUCAUGGAAAACAACAACAACAACAACAAAAAACACACCAUAAACCAAAGACUUAAUGUCCAGCUGGUGGCUGGGACACCUUGGUGAAGAGGACCCAGUAAACUCAGGGAGGCUAGUGGUGCUGUUUGUGUCUCAUGUGGCCCACACCAGCCCACUGGCUGUUCACAAUACAUUCAUCUAGUGUUACUUCAGGGGGCCUCCAGGCCGACCUCCUAACUGAAAACAUCAUAGACCUUUCACGCAAGUGUUCAACGUGCUGGUGUUUACUCCUGCUGCUGGGCAUUCAAAACAACUGCUGAUCCCUCAUGUUCUCCUUACCUUUGUUCCCCUCCUUGCGAGUUGGGUGUAGGCCCCAAUCAGCCUCUGCAGGCCUCUCUGAACCUCAUGGUCUGAGUUUGAGGGGACCCAAGAGCUUGCCUUCUUAUUUUACAGAUGGGGAUACAGAGGCCCAGAGACUCUGUGCACCUUGUCAAGGUCCCAGCGCUAAGUCUAGAAACUAGCUGUCAUGUCAUAUCCCUUGGUCUCGGGAUAUUUUCACUUAUCCAUUCAACACGUGACAAGCAUUUCAAUAAGCCAGCUCUUUGAGGAGCUGGGAACAGGGAGAUGAAAUGGGCCUCUGCCCUGAGCAGCCCCUGGUCUUUGAUGUUAUGAUGGCAAGAAGCACUGGGAGCUAACAUCAAAGGGAGAGAGGCCUUCGGAUGCUUAGAAAGAGUCUCCCCACAGUUGCUAUCCUCCUCUGAAUGCGGCUCAAACCAAAUCAGCACAAAUCCGCUAAAUAAAACCACUGGAAAACAAGGUCAAAGUGACAGAGGCCAAGAGCACCAACAAAAGUGCCUUCUUAUCCAUCUUGGAGCCAAGCUGAAGAGCGGCCCCAAGUGACCAACGGUGGGACUCACGGCUGGGCCUUGUCCCCCCACCCCAGCACAGCCUUGGAUGAAUCACACACCAGAGAACAACAGGGCUAUUUCUCACCAGUCAUUUGUCAAGCUGACAUCCCUGCCUAGAGUUAUUUAGGGCUUUCUAAAGACACUUCUUUCCCUCCCUGCCGCAGGAAGCACCUGCACGGCUGUUGAGUUGUGGUUUUGCUCAAUAGCGCUUUGAUAUCCCUUAAGGCCUUCAUCAAUUACUCUUCUGUCCCUGAUGGGUUGGACUUUGGCUGAGGCAAAGACAGGGAAGCUUAGAGAGGAUGAUGGAGAGGAAGAGGAUGGUGAGUUCCUCUGAGAUCUGAGGCCAGCCACUGUCUGGAGGUGGGCUCUUAUUGAUUUCUGUGGGGGAACCUUCAGGAGAGGACAGUCUGAGUUCUUGGCCAGCUGGACUUGGACCAUAACUGCCAUGUUCCCAUGAGGACAGGUCCCCCUCCUGGAACAGAGCUAUGCUCCUGCCAGCUACUUAGAGGAAAAGAGCAGGCCUGUCAGAUGAGUGUGACUGGAGCAAACCUGGUCUUCCGAUUCAGCUAAAUGACAUAAGGCAGAGGGGACUUGGAGCGGGAUCAGGGAAGAAAAACGGAAAUAAUGAGAAGACUCAGUGAAUGGAUCUCUGAAAGCAGUUAGGAGAAUUUGAGUUGUUGAGUCUAGAGGAGGCAAGAGUGAACUAAGAAUUAGCUUUGAUUAUAGGCAGAAAAACUGUGCAUAAAUUAGUGGUCAUUUCUACUGAAAAUAUGGUGUGGGUUGGAUUCUUGCUUCCAUGGCUGCCCGAGGAUUUUGCUCCAGUGUGCUGGCCUGUCUGGGUUAUUGCAUUAUUCUUAUUCAUGAGGUGGUGGGUCUCCUUCCUUGGAGAUUUGCAUGAAUGGAAAUGACAUCCUCCCAGAUGGAAUGGUUUAGGGAAAGUCUUCACGACACAUAUGUUUCUUCCCUUCAGUUUGCACUGCCCAACAUCCCAGCUUGACCCUUAUGUCUGAAUCAGUUUAGCAGCCUCUUGACUAGUAUACAGAUGUUCCAUCUCUGCCUCCUUCAGUCCACUCUGCCUAUGGAGGUCCCACUUAUCUUCCUUAAAUUCAUCUUGGAUAAUGGCAAUGUCCUGCUAAAAAUAUGUUGAUGCCUAUUUAUUUAUUCAUCCAACAAAUACUGAGCACCUAUUGUCUUGAGCACCGAUUAUGUGCCUGCUGCUUACUCCCGGGCAUACAACAUGGCACAAAGUGUAGUAGGGCCUCAUCAAGGCAUUCACUCAGCCUUCCUGUCCUUGUCCUGGAACCUUUUAAGGCCUCAUCAUCUGCUUUUAACAGAUCUUUCUGACCUUUUGCCCACACAAAACCUUUUCUUCCAGCCUAGCCCAUUCACCAUGAUAACCCACCUGGUGUCUUUCUUGUCACCCCAACUUCUGGAUAGACUAUCCUUAUUCGGAGCCCAUCUCUCCUGUGAAGCUAACACAAGUCUCCUUGCCUUUAGGAGGAUUUCCAUGGCCGCUUGGGUUUUAGAAUUCUCUAGCACCUCUGUCCCCACAGUGUUUCUUCCUUAGCACUGGGUAUGUUCUUCCUGAGUGGAGAGAACUGGCAGCUGCUGUGCCUGCCCUGACCUCCUGUGGCCUCACUCGCCGUGGACAAGUCCUGAGAGAGCUGGAACCUGUGGACAUUCUUUCCCUGUCCGUGCUCUGCUGUGGAUGAUGACAGGGGCAGCUCAGGUGUUUGCUGGGGCUUCCAGAGCAUUUGACACCAUUAAGAAGACGGAGAGUAUACUGAAUGUCUAAACUUAAAGGGGGAGAGGCUUUGGGGAUCAUUUAAUAAAACGACCUUGUUUUGCAGAUAUGGAAACUGAGAACCAGAGAAACUGAUUUACCCAAAACCACAAGAGAGUUGGAAGAAUGAACUAAAGAUCAGAAACUUUUCUUCUCAGAGUCCAACUGGUCCAUGAUGGUUUGGGGAAGAACCUGCAGAAAGAGAGGGCAGGAAAUUAGCAAGGUGAGAAAUCACAAAGGUUCUUAUAUACAGGAUCCAGUUGGUGAAUUGCAGGGUCCUGUUAUCUUUGCUCCUUUUUAGAUCUCCACUUGCCUAAAAUAAAUCAUGACCCUACACUUUCAAAGAUCCAGGCCAACCUUGGGGCCCCAAGGUGAGUUUUUUUCUGUCUUGUGAAACUGGUGCUACUUGUGUGGUGUAAAUCAGAGGGUUAGCAAGUAUUCAGUGGAUUUGCUGGUAAGCCCAACCUUUUGACAAAAGAGGGGGAAGAAAGAAAUAAAAGUAGGGGUGGGGGAAGUAAGCUAGAAGAAUAAGGAGAGAGAUAGAGAUGUGACUCCAUCAACAAAAUACUGAUUGAGUAUCUUCUACGUGUAAGACUGUGCUAGUUUCAACUUGCCAUUCUAAAUCAACAAAUAGAACCCUUAUUUGUGACUACAGAGGCUGAGAGUUAGGUGUGUCUGGUGUAAGACAGAUGCACACCCAGGUAUGACCAGCAAGCAGCAAAGUCAAUAGGCAAUUACUCAGGAAGGCUGUUAUGGAAGGAAUGAGAAUGAAUGGGCCCACGCUGACUUAGAAAUUAAGUUAAAACAUAUGGCAAAUGUUUUUCUGAUAUGCACUUAAAGCCUGGAACAGUCCAAGAGGCCCUGGGUUUCCCUGAGAGGGAGGCUUUUAGGAAGAGUGUAGGCUGCCUGUGGCUGCUGCACCUAACUGGAUUACAGGCCUCUGUGACGCUGCCCAUCACAUCUGCUUUUCAGUAAUGCCGUAGGGGAGGCAAGCUGUCCCCUUAGACCCUUAGCAUGAUCUGUCUAUGGGUUUCACAUUUUUUCCUGGCAGAGUUAGUUUUUCGUGUUUGUUUUGUGAAGAAAAACUUUGUAUACUUCUUUCCUUUUUUUUCCUUUGCAAUAAAGUGUUGAACAAAAUGUAUACUAUUUUGUCCAAACUUUUUAAGCUUCCAGAUUUGGAUAUGGUGUUUAUGUCUGUGGCUUUUAGAAAGUCUGAAUGGAUCUGAAAGGUCAGAAAAUACCUAAACAUUUGACUCUACCCUUCAGCUCACACGUGAUUGGCUGUGCAUUGUUUUAUUUUUAAAAAUGGUAAAUGAGAAACUAUUCUUUAGUCAUAUCUUGUUCUCAGAGCCUUUCCCCCUCUUGCAGACUGUGCCGCCACCCAAAAGCUUGAAAACACCCCAGGAAGCCAUCCCCUCAUUGUGAAAUGACUAAUCACCACACACCACUUGGUUUUCCUUCCUGGACGUCAUAGGCCAUAGCCCUGUAGUUCCCACAUUGUCUCUGUCAUCAUCCCAAGGAGUGUGACUCUUGAUUCUGAGCCUGGGCAGGACAGCCUGUCUCAGCACAGGCUGUUAUAUAAGCGGCUGUGGGGAGAGCUGGCAAUAAACAAACAUUUUUCCAGCCCUUGUUUUCUCUGCAGCCUUGAAAAAUAUUUUUCUGGGGCUGCUGCUGUGCUCCUGCAACAGGAUGGCAAAUUCCCAGCUUAGAAAUGUCUUGCUCUGCAUUUCCAGAUUCUAAAAUCAGAACAAAGUGAACCAGCAUGUUCAAAGGAACUGAAAUUUUGAGAGCCAGGACACAUAGAUGGGUUUCUCGACAAGCGGCUUUGCAGCAGUCUUUCCAAAGUUUCAUCCACACAUCCUGACGGCGAGUAACCAUUGGGAAAUUACAUGGUGACUUUAGGGCCACAGAGAGGAGAAUCAGAAGAUGACAGGAACUCACUUGGGAAUGGAGAAGUGAUGUUAUGGCUGCCAGUGUCAAAGUCAGACCCACUGUAUAAACACAGACAUUCACACAUAUGAGAACCAUGGGACUGAACAUUGGUAAAGUCCGUUCCUCCUUGGGCCACUCCAUCUUGGAAACUCAAAGGAGGAACACUUUACAGUAGUGUUCCACACACUCUACCUCUAACUCCCAGUACUGAAUUUAGUGGAAGUCCAACCACAGUUCCUCCCACCCAAACAGACAGUUCCUUGUGAGUGUCUCAGAGGGACACUUAGACAGGACAGCCUCCUCAUUCACUGGUGAAAGAUUUUCCAGAGCCAAAGCUCUUGCUUCCAUGGCUGUCACCUGUAAGGGUUGCUGGUACCAGCUGCUUUUCUGAAGCCACUGCACCCUCCCCAUUCCCCUGCAGUAGUCUCCAUUGUGAGACCUCAGCCAGAGUGACCUUGUGCUCUAUUUCCCUUCAAUGGCUGAUGUUCUGGUGUCACUCCCUGUGCUGAAAGCCAAGCUGAUUUCUCCACAUCUCUGAGUAAUUCAGAUCAUUUUACAAUGAAUUAGCAAGUGAGUUUGUUAUUGCAGUGCGGAGGAGGAGGGAUGGGAAGCACUUUCAGAGUUUCUUUUAGUUUUCCCUGAGUCUACUGAGACCCCUGAAAGAAAACUUACUGCCUGUAGCUUGGAAAUGUUGCUGUGUAUCCAAGAAGCUGCCACUCUGCUCAUUGGCAAGGCUACAUCUAUGGCUAUAUCAAUCCACCUUUCUCAUCAUUGUCCUCAUACCGUGGAACUAGGACAGAGUCACCCAGAAGGAAGCAUGGGUACUGUAGUUUAUCCAAGGUCACUAGGCUAGUCUUUUGGUCCUGUGUAGCUAGGAUUGGCUGCGUAAUAUGUAGGGUGCAGUGCAAAAUAAAAAUGUCAGGCCUCUGUUGAAAAAUUAUUAAUAAUUUCUAAAUGGCAACAGGUGAGCAUCAAACCAAACUCAGGCCCUAUACAAUCAUACAAGUCAUGUGCUUAUGAAGCCAAAGCCAUUCUCAGCAUAGCUUUUAUUUGAAGCCUCUAGUUUUCACAGUGGAGUGGCUAAAAGAGGUAAGUUCUUUGAGGGUUGUGCAAGAAAGUUUAGGAAGGAGAGAUGACAGCUGGCUGCUUUUAGCAGGACAUUCUUUGUAAGUGGGUAGCACCUGUGGGUCACUAUGAAAAACAGGCGCCAUCCAAAGUACUUUCCAUAUGUUAAAUCAUUUCAUAUACAUACAUACACAUGAAUAAUGUGUAUCUAUUAAAUCGUGAAUCCUCACAACAACCAUUUAAAGUGGGUGCUGUUGUUUUUCUAUGCUUUUAUAGGUAAGGAAACCGAGGCACAAUAGAGUUAAAUGAAAUGCUGAUUUAAAGUUUGGUUCUCAACUUUCUAAUAGAAACCCUCUAUUGUUGAAGUGAACUUGGAGCUUACUAGACCAUGAGGGACUGAAUCAUGCUAAACUCACAGAAAAUUGAUGUAUAUGCAACAAAACAAAUUUAUUCCUAUAAAAUGAGAGGCACUACCGUCCCAGUAACUGAGAUAUUUAUUUCUAUGACCCAAGAUACCCCUUUUGAGUAUUAAGGUGCCUGGGGUGACUGAAGUAACAGUCAGAAGCUUGCUCAGUGAUCACAGAAUCAAAACAAAGCGAAUUGCAAAAUCUCAGGGGAGAUGCUGACCAAACAGAUAGAGUCUGAGAAAUCAUCCCUGUGCUUAAUACUUUUCUUCCUGGUGGAUGAAGUACUCUUGUCUGCUAAAUACAGGGUCUUAAUUCAUGCAUGGUGUUUAGUUCUCCUUUGCAGGAGUCAUCCCCACCACCUCAUGUCAAGUCAGUUACAGCACAACUGAAUAUGCUGCCCCCUUCUUAAUGUUGCUGUGCUCUGGUCUGGGGUGUGAUCCCAAACAUCAUGAUCCCAGCAGUAGCUGGUUUACAAACCAACUCUGAGGAUGCCACAUCCAUAGAAAACCUGUCGUUUUCUUCUGGUUUCCACUUCAAAGUGUGAACUGAAUCUGGGCCACCAUGUGCUCCCUAAACUUAGCAUUUAAGUAGCUCUGAUGAGCAGAAUGUUAAUGUGUUAAAAUGAGAUUAUGUUCGUUCCCUUACAAAUUUAGGAUAAAGAUGCUAGGCUGGCCCUUUGAAGGUAAAUUAACUCCUCAGAAGCACCUGCUUGUGUGGCAUUAAGUAAUCAAACAACAAAACUACACUUGGAUGGGUUUAAAGUGGGACUGAAAAAGUAGACAAAAAGUAGAUGACUUUUGCAUCAUCAGGGAAUUGAUUUUUUGCUUUGUUUGUAACUCUCCACUUGAAAGUUGUCUUUUUCCUGCCAAAUUCAGGGUGAUUCAUAAAACCAUCUUCUCUUAAUGUGAAGAGAAAUUGCUGGAGGUUGUUUUGAAGGGCAUCUUUGGGAACCACCUUAACAAGUAGCUGAAUAAGGAAGAGGAGGAUGAUGAUCGCUGACAUAAAAAAUGCUUACUAUAUAGGUGGCAGGCAUUGUGCUAACUGGAUUAAAUAUUAUUUUUUAACAACCCUAUGAGACUAUUCUCAUUGUACUGAGAGAAAACGGAUUUGGGGCCAGCAAUGGUGAGAGAAAAUGGUGAUGAUUCUUAAACUCUGAACUUCAAGCAUUAAGAAUUGGCUGCAAUAGAAAACUGGUCCUAGAUGGUCCCAAGUGGCCCAUCAUGAGCCAGAUACUAGUGGGGGAUAUAGGGAGGACCAGAGGCCACAGAGAACCACGUGAUGAAUGUAGAAGAAAGAGGGUUUUAAAAGGGCCAGGGCAGAGGUGUUCCUGUAGGAUUAGGCACACAUAGACCAAGCUCUCCUGAGAUCCCUCACUGAGAAGGAAUUGGAAAGAACACCAGAAUCAUGUACUCCCUAGUUCGAUGUGGAUAUUAAUUGUAACUGAUUAUGUGUAUACAUUUAUGCUGAAGUUAACUGUGAGUAAAUUGGUUGUAUGUCAUUCCUUGGUGUGUAUUUUGCCUUUCCUAUUCUUUUUUGUUCCAUUAUAAACUCGGGUUGCUAGAACCUCAUACGAUCCUGUGAGAGGUGGGAGUUAGCUGGUCACUCAGUCUUCUCCUCUUUCCUGGGAGGUGGUGGUUUAAUCAUAUCCAUUUGUAAAAGGGGAAAUGGUGGCUCAGAGGUCCUCAGUAAUUUCUACAGCUAGAUAAUUCAUGGGUGCAGAGUUCAGAUCUGGGGUUCAGACCCCUACAGUGUGUGUGGCAGGGAGUCUAGGCAAACAGCAACUCUCACCCGCAAGCACCCAACAAGGUUUGUCCUUGUUUUCAGUGGGCCUCCUACUUCCCUGAAAGGUCUAAUCUCAGCAACACAGUCUCAUUUAGCUUAUUGUUUUGGCUAUUUAUGUGCAAUAACUGUGAAAAGCAAGAAGAUGGGUUGCAAUUUCCUUACCUACUUGUUAUGUUCAAAUCAGCUCUUUGAAAGCAGAGUCAAGAUACAAUAAUAGUAAUAAUAACAAUAAUCAUUUAUAGUUAAAGCAUGGAAUCGAAUGGUGCUUCCAUAGCAUCCAUGUGUGUCAGGUGCUCUUUUAAGCAAGUUACAUUCAUUCAGUUUGUCCCACAUCUUCAUAAAACAAGGGGUGAAUUGUAUGAGGAAAAGGAUGCUAGAAUUUCAAUUUUGUCUUGCUCCAUUCCAUCUCUGAACUUCUCAAAAUGAAUUUUAGCAAGGCCUGACCUAUAUAGAAAUCUGUUUCUUAUACAUGGCUCCAAAAAUGGUCCUACUCUGAAGUCUGCAUUUUUGGCAAUGGGAGGUGCCAGACAAGAAGUGAGGGUCUGAGGCCCACCCUGGACUCCUCCAGGCCUAGUCAUCCUGGUGUGUUUCUCAGAAUCUAUGGUUCCUUCUCUCCUCCCUCCUCUUUUGCUUUCUUCCUGCCACAAAAUCUCUUUUUUUCAUCGUGAAGAGCCACAUGCCAAUUACUUUAUACAGCAACACCCCAUCCUCCUCUAGCUCUCCAGGGUCCAGGCUCUUGGGGCCCUCAUACAUGUUCCCACACCCUGGAAGGGUAGAGACCCCUCCGCCUCCUGGUGCCAGCAGAAGGGUGGGAGACCUACGUGCAGUCAAGUGGAGAAUUUGUCUCCCAGGGCCCAAAGAGACAUUCAACACCAAGCUCUGUGCGGCAAUUCCCCUCAUAAAUCUCAGCUCUAACUACAAAUUAUUUACACUAUCCAGUUUCACUUCCUUCUUCUCUCCCAUCGGAUUCAAAGGAUUUUAGACUUCAGAAAAACAUUGAGUCUGAAUUAAACAUCGGCAUGAACUUGAUCAACUUUAAGUCUCUCAUUUCACAUCAGAAGCCAGGAGUUGGGAGUGGCGGGGGCAGGGAUCAGAAGAUAUCUACAGACAAAAAGACAUUUAUAAAGCAAUAUAGUAUUAAAGAUGGAAAAGCCCACAUGAAAAACGCAGAGGCCAGCCCACCUCCCUGUGACACUAUUGCCCUUAAUCAUGGUACUGGGAUGGUAUAUCUCCAGAAGUUUGAAACAGGAAACAAAUAAUAUUUCAAAGUUUCCAGCAAGAAAGUAAUGACAGCUUUGGAGAGCAGCUGCAGCCACUUUCUUCCAUUAAGCCUUUGUCCCUCCCCUUGGCCUUGGCAGUGGGUCUAGGGCGCCAUGCGAUCCCUACAGCUUUCAUUACACCCAGUUCAAGAACCUGCUUGCAAGCGUCUCCUUGCCCAGCACACAAACAAACUUUAAAUGAUAAAGGAAAACACUGGCAGCAUGUUCCUGUGUUCUGAGGCAGGCCUGGGGCGGGGCUUUCCCAGAGUUUGUUGUGAGAGACAACCUGCUCUCCCACCAGGUGGAGAGGAGCCUGGACCAAGGUUGAAAAGCCAUGAGUCAGGCCUAGAGAAUUUCAGUUGCAACACCCUCUUGUAAGAGGCUGUUUAGUCAUAGCUGUUGCUUUCAAUGAAAAGGUCACCCACUCCAUAGUGAAUGGUUAUUUGCUGGCUGCUUCUCACACUGUUGCAAUUGUGAUCCUUUUGCAUCUUUGAUUGUCUUUCAUCGGAAAACUAUGACAUGCUUCAUUUUGUUUCCCAGGGUGGUAGCCACAGUCGGCGGUCAGUUGGCGAGCUGGCUACAUUCGAUGGUAUGCAAACAACUCGGUGGCAGCUUAAAGGGUGGGGUAGGCAGUGUGGCCCUCAAUGUGCAGUUCGAGUUUCCCAAGUUGAAGGCUCACAGAGUGAUUGGAAACCAGGAGAAAAAUUACUGUGGUCUGAGCAGGGAAGGAAGAAAGGUCCUGGACACUCGGCUUCUAGAGAGAUCCACGUGCGCCAUGCCGCAACUGCAUUCAGUGUCUUCCAGCUUCCAACUUGUUGUCAGCCUUCAGAGUGACUGACCCGGGGAGAUCAGCUGGGAGCCCCCUUACGACCUGUCAGCAUGCGCCCCGAGAAGACACCUUGGUCAAGCGUCUCUCAGCCUGGUCACACUUGCUGGCUUUUUUCAUUAUGGUCAUGGCUAAGAGGGAAGAGGAGAGUUGCCAAAUUUGACCUAUACUUCGACAUUAUAAUUUAGCCCAUUCAUUUUCCUCUUGAGGAUAAAUGUUAAAAGUCCAAUUUAUGGGAGGCCAAGGCGAGCGGUUCAUGAGAUCCAGAGAUCGAGACCAUCCUGGCUAACACAGUGAAACCCAGUCUCUACUAAAAAUAUAAAAAAUUAGCCGGGCGUGGUGGUGGGCGCCUGUAGUUCCAGCUACUUGGGAGGCUGAGGCAGGAGAAUGGCAUGAACCAGGGAGGCAGAGCUUGCAGUGAGCCAAGAUCUUGUCACGGCACUCCAGCCUGGGCUGCAGAGCGAGACUCUGUCUCAAACAAACAAACAAACAAAAAGUCCAAUUUGUUGGAGAAUUUUUUAGGAGGGAUGAAGGGAAUGGGGGAUUGGAAGAUAGGAAGUCAAAUGCGCUCUAAUCUUUUCUUGCUUUUUUCUAUGCUUUUUCUAUGUGGGACUUGUUGAAUGUUUAUUGCAAGCUCUUUA